rnacentral:rRNA from 1 species
AUUAACGCUGGCGGCAUGCCUAAUGCAUGCAAGUAGAACGAGUCUCGCAAGAGAUUAGUUGCGAACGGCUGAGUAAUGGAUAGGAAUCUCCCUUUUGGCGCGGAAUACCUCAUCGAAAGAUGAGCUAAUACCACAUAAGAUCGCAAGAUGAAAGCACUUAACUGUGCACCGAAAGAUGAGCCUAUCUCCCAUCAGGCAGUUGGUAGGGUAAUGGCCUACCAAACCUAUGACGGGUAGGGGGCGUGAGAGCGCGUUCCCCCAGAAUGGGACUGAGACACGGCCCAUACACCUACGGGUGGCAGCAACAGGGAAUCGUACACAAUGGACGAAAGUCUGAUGUCGCAAUGCCGCGUGGAGGAUGAAGGCCUUCGGGUCGUAAACUCCUUUUACAGUAAUAGAGAUGUUAUUGAGAAUAAGCACCUGCUAACUCUGU